rnacentral:misc_RNA from 1 species
UCAGCACUGAAACGAAACUUUUCUGCAAUAAAGAAGCAACAGUUAGUCCAAGUUAAAAUCCAAAAUGCUUCAAACAGAAUUCCAGUGAAUUAAUUUGUCCCAAAUUUACUUUAAAUUGCAUUGCCAAAAGAAUACAAAAGUACAAACCAUAUCAGAGAGUAAAGUCUCUUUAUCAGUGCAAGGGAAGGCUGUGUCAGCAAAGACAUAAGUUGAAUGCAUGUUUGCACAUGCAGAGUACAUCAUAAGUUCCAACAACAGUUCAAUUAGCAUAUGAAAGCCUUUUACACAGAACGACCAAUUCAAAUUUGGGUCCAAACAGUGACAAAGUAAUACAGAAACAUAAUAAGUAAUAGGGUGGUGCUGUUGCCAAAGUGAAUAUUGUUAGGGGCAGAGCAAUAUAGUUAAAUAGACAGGAUCUAAGUUGGACCAAAUUGUUAUUGCCAGACAAAAACCCCCUUUUCUGCAUUUUUUUCCCCUAUUUUUCUUUUGAUGUUUUUCAAGAGGAAUAUAAAGAAGCUGAGAAAACGAAGAGAACAUUGGAAGUAAGCAAUAUGAAUUUGACAAUAAUGAUAAAGAAGACUGUUGUACUUGAUGAUGUGCAGUCGUCUUAUAGUUACGUCAGGGAUUAUUGCUAUUUAGUAAGAAUGUAAUAAUUCUUAUAUAACAUUACUUGUCUUCUACCAUCAAUAUUUAGCCUUAAAUUUUAUUUCUUUUGCACUUGUCCUCUAUCAGGUGUCCAAGACUACUCUAUGCCUUCAUGUGCCCUUAAUAAGUAUUAUUUGUUCAAACAAUAUACUUGGUGUAAUAAUUGGGUGAAAUUCUUAACCUGCUAAUACAAUUAUGAAGUGUGUGACAAGAUGCAUCCGCAAAAACGCUAGGCCAAAGAAGCAACUCAAGAAAAUUUUUAACCAUGUGAAAGAAGGCAUUAUAAAUUACUCAUGCUUCAUUAUAAAUGCCUAUUGUAUACAUGAUACGUUGAAAGAGAUCUCUAGAAAUAAAAAUGGUCAUUUCCACUUCUCACCGACAGUACUCUUUUCUGGAAGAGGUGGAAUAAAAACACCUUUGUACUUUUCAAAA